AGAACGAACGCUGGCGGCAUGCCUAACACAUGCAAGUCGAACGAAGGCUUCGGCCUUAGUGGCGCACGGGUGCGUAACGCGUGGGAACCUGCCCCUUGGUUCGGAAUAACAGAGAGAAAUUUCUGCUAAUACCGGAUGAUGACUUCGGUCCAAAGAUUUAUCGCCGAGGGAUGGGCCCGCGUAGGAUUAGCUUGUUGGUGGGGUAAUGGCCUACCAAGGCGACGAUCCUUAGCUGGUCUGAGAGGAUGAUCAGCCACACUGGGACUGAGACACGGCCCAGACUCCUACGGGAGGCAGCAGUGGGGAAUAUUGGGCAAUGGGCGAAAGCCUGAUCCAGCAAUGCCGCGUGAGUGAUGAAGGCCUUAGGGUUGUAAAGCUCUUUUACCAGGGAUGAUAAUGACAGUACCUGGAGAAUAAGCUCCGGCUAACUCCGCGCCAGCAGCCGC
rnacentral:rRNA from 1 species